rnacentral:rRNA from 1 species
GCAUAUCAAUAAGCGGAGGAAAAGAAACCAACAGGGAUUACCUCAGUAACGGCGAGUGAAGCGGUAAAAGCUCAAAUUUGAAAUCUGGCUCUUUUAGAGUCCGAGUUGUAAUUUGUAGAAGAUGCUUCGGGUGUGGUUCCGGUCUAAGUUCCUUGGAACAGGACGUCAUAGAGGGUGAGAAUCCCGUAUGUGACUGGAUACCUAUGCUCAUGUGAAGCUCUUUCGACGAGUCGAGUUGUUUGGGAAUGCAGCUCAAAAUGGGUGGUAUAUUUCAUCUAAAGCUAAAUAUUGGCCAGAGACCGAUAGCGCACAAGUAGAGUGAUCGAAAGAUGAAAAGCACUUUGGAAAGAGAGUUAAACAGUACGUGAAAUUGUUGAAAGGGAAGCGCUUGCAAUCAGACUUGCACUUGGUGUUCAUCGGGGUUUCUACCCCGUGUACUUCAUCAAGUUCAGGCCAGCAUCAGUUUGGGUGGUUAGAUAAAGGCUUAGAGAAUGUGGCCCUCUUCGGGGGGUGUUAUAGCUCUAGGUGCAAUGUAGCCUACCUGGACUGAGGACCGCGCUUCGGCUAGGAUGCUGGCGUAAUGGUUGUAAGCGACCCGUCUUGAAACACGGACCAAGGAGUGUACCUAAUAUGCGAGUGUUUGGGUGUUAAACCCAUACGCGUAAUGAAAGUGAACGGAGGUGAGAGCCCUUAAGGGUGCAUCAUCGACCGAUCCUGAUGUCUUCGGAUGGAUUUGAGUAAGAGCAUAUUGGGUGCGACCCGAAAGAUGGUGAUCUAUACGUGAAUAGGGUGAAGCCAGAGGAAACUCUGGUGGAGGCUCGCAGCGGUUCUGACGUGCAAAUCGAUCGUCAAAUUUGCGUAUAGGGGCGAAAGACUAAUCGAACCAUCUAGUAGCUGGUUCCUGCCGAA